AGUGAACGCUGGCGGUAGGCCUAACACAUGCAAGUCGAACGGCAGCACAGUAAGAGCUUGCUCUUACGGGUGGCGAGUGGCGGACGGGUGAGGAAUACAUCGGAAUCUACUUUUUCGUGGGGGAUAACGUAGGGAAACUUACGCUAAUACAGCAUACGACCUACGGGUGAAAGCAGGGGAUCUUCGGACCUUGCGCGAUGGAAUGAGCCGAUAUAGGCUUAGCUAGUUGGCGGGGUAGAGGCCUACCAAGGCGGCUAUACGUAGCUGCUAUGAGAGGAUGAUUAGCCACACUGGCACAGAGACACGGUCCAGACUCCUACAGGAGGAAGCAGUGCAGAAUAUUGCACGAAGGGGGCAAGGCUGAUCCAGCCAUACCGCGUGAGGGCAGAAGGAGUUCGGGUUGGAGAGCCCUUUUGUUGGGAAAGAAGUACAGCUCGUUAAUCCCCCACGAUUAUGACGGUACCCAAAGAAUAAGCACCGGCUAACUUCGUG
rnacentral:rRNA from 1 species